GAUCCUGGCUCAGGAUGAACGCUAGCUACAGGCUUAACACAUGCAAGUCGAGGGGCAGCAUGGUCUUAUCUUGCUAAGGCUGAUGGCGACCGGCGCACGGGUGAGUAACACGUAUCCAACCUGCCGUCUACUCUUGGACAGCCUUCUGAAAGGAAGAUUAAUACAAGAUGGCAUCAUGAGUCCGCAUGUUCACAUGAUUAAAGGUAUUCCGGUAGACGAUUGGGA
rnacentral:rRNA from 1 species